rnacentral:rRNA from 1 species
CACUCCUACGGGAGGCAGCAGUGGGGAAUAUUGGACAAUGGGCGCAAGCCUGAUCCAGCCAUGCCGCGUGAGUGAUGAAGGCCCUAGGGUUGUAAAGCUCUUUCACCGGUGAAGAUAAUGACGGUAACCGGAGAAGAAGCCCCGGCUAACUUCGUGCCAGCAGCCGCGGUAAUACGAAGGGGGCUAGCGUUGUUCGGAUUUACUGGGCGUAAAGCGCACGUAGGCGGACUAUUAAGUCAGGGGUGAAAUCCCGGGGCUCAACCCCGGAACUGCCUUUGAUACUGGUAGUCUUGAGUUCGAGAGAGGUGAGUGGAAUUCCGAGUGUAGAGGUGAAAUUCGUAGAUAUUCGGAGGAACACCAGUGGCGAAGGCGGCUCACUGGCUCGAUACCGACGCUGAGGUGCGAAAGCGUGGGGAGCAAACAGGAUUAGAAACCCGUGUAGUCCCAUG